GACGAGACGAGACGAGACGAAACGAGAUAUUUAACGACUAAAUAUCUAACCUACCCUACCCCUAACCACCCCCCAACCGCCCAAACCCCUUUCCCCUCACUUACUUACGGCUGUUAGCAGCCAACACCCCUCACUUUUAAUUUUUAAUUAUCUCACACACACUAAACACACACACACAACUCACGCAUAUCUCCAUUGUUGAGGAGUUGGAGCUUUUGAGCUCUGUUUUGAGCGAGAAGACGAGCCCCGAUCAUCUUUUCGAUCACGUAUCUAAGUAGGUCCUUUUGGGAAGUAACGACUUGAGGGAGAGAGUGACGUUACUCAUUGAUACAGAGACACAACGAGGUUGAGCUGAUGUGAUGAUGGUGCUGCAAUGAGCGGAGUCUCCAGGGUUGUUAAUAAAUAGUUAACCUGUCUAGAAUAUGUCUUCAUACAUAUGUCUAGCUACUUUCCGCUGCAAGAUGUUGUUGAUGUUAUAGUAUGUUAUGUCAUACUUUGAGUCUUAAGAGAAUGGUUUCAUAUGAUGUAUAACUUGAUUAAUGAUAUUAAUUAAGUUUUAUGUUGUCUUUCAUAGACUGUUCAAAAGAGUAUUAAUGAGUAAAUACGACGAUUUUUCUUAAGUUGAGUAA